UUAAAGUGAUUUCUCGGAUGGUGUCCUAUCAUUCAUUCUGCCAACGUGCAAUUGAACGUUAUAAUUUCCUCACUCAGUUAAAACAGAAAAUCAAAAGUGCAUUUCAACAUGAGAACUUCCUUAAUUCUAUGUUUCAUCCUACUGGCAACAGUUGCGCUGACUGUUGAGUCGUAUAAAUGCGGUGGAUCGUGUAUUAGUGGAAGCAGUUGCUGUCCUUCCGGUAAAUGCUCACGAUUUUGGGAUUCAGGAUGUCCAAAUUCAUCAAACAAAUGCUGUGUCACUGGUCCUAGAACAUCCGGUAAUAAAUGUAAAGACAGGUGUCGCUAAGAACGCAUGUCACUUAUAAAAUAAUGAAAAAUAAUUUUCACCGACCACACCGGUCUUAAUUUUGAAGUUAAAUUUUACUUAUGUGUCAUAUGUCUUUGAAAUAAACAAAUCAUAUUCCUCCAAA